rnacentral:sRNA from 1 species
AAAUCCAAAAAAAAACAAAAAAAAACAGAAAAAAAC